GUCUCCAUAGCUCAGUUGGUCAGAGCGCAGGAUCCAUGACCCUGAGGUCGCCGGUUUCAGCCCGGCUGGGGACA